GCGGCCUUAGUAUAGUGGUCAGUAUACCAGUUUGUGGACUAACAACUCCUCAAUUCACUGGCGACGUGAGUUCGAUUCUCACAGGCCGCA